GACUUUUCAGUUGAUGUUGAAUCUGGUUGAGUGUCCAACACAUGUCCAACAGAUUUUUAAAUACUUAUUGCUUAUUUUCAAUUUUGGAGCAGUGUUAUCACUUCGUGGUCUAUGGAGCUUAUGGCACGCCACAUGAAGCAGUUUUAUGGAACUUGGUAUGUAAGACGUGGCAUUCUGUCAUCAGGAAAGGAAGAAAAUAAAGAAAAAAAACUUUUCCCUAGUCCUCAAUAGGUCUCAUCUCUCCUUGGUCUCAUCUAGUCUACUCACUAGAACUCCGAAAUAAUUGGUAUUUUGGUGGUUGCAUUGUGGUAGUGAACUGAAGAAGCAACAUCUGGUAUACUUGUUUCUUUUCGUUUUAACAUGAUAUUCAGCAGUUUUAAUUUCUUGAAUCUUAGCCUGCAGAGGAGCUCACUUACUCUUGUGUCCCAUUAUACCAGCCUCCUCUAAAUAAAGGAUUCACCAUUAAAGUCUGAUUGAAUAAGCUACGAGGGUCAGCCGCUAAACCACACCGCCAUUGAACUGGGAUGGAUGGUGAGAGCUUCUUUCAAAGGUUUUACGGACAAGGUCGGCUGCCCGGAUGGUCUUGCCUUAUGACGAAGCGGAAAAAUGAGACAAGCGAACCAUCACUGAACCGAGAUUUCCACGAGAGGCAGAAAUCGUAAGUUGUUUAGUUGGUCAUUACCGUUUACAAAAUUCUUUUGUUGCAUUAUUUUUAACUUUGUCUAAGAAAAUUAAUAAAG